GAUGAACGCUGGCGGCAUGCCUAAUACAUGCAAGUCGAACGAACUGUUUUCGGACAGUUAGUGGCGAACGGGUGAGUAACACGUAGAUAACCAACCCUUUAGACGAGGAUAACCCGGGGAAACCUGGACUAAUACUGGAUAGGAGCUAUUUUCAUAAGGAGGUAGUUUUAAAGGCGCAUCAAAGCGCUGCUAGAGGCUGGGACUGCGUCGCAUUAGCUAGUUGGUGGGGUAAUGGCCUACCAAGGCAACGAUGCGUAGCUGCGCUGAGAGGCGGAACAGCCACACUGGGACUGAGACACGGCCCAGACUCCUACGGGAGGCAGCAGUAGGGAAUUUUCGGCAAUGGGGGGAACCCUGACCGAGCAAUGCCGCGUGAACGAAGAAGGUCUUCGGAUUGUAAAGUUCUGUUAAUGGGAAAGAAAGUGUAUAUUAGGAAAUGAGUAUGCAUUGACGGUACCUGUUGAGGAAGCCCCGGCUAACUACGUGCCAGCAGCCGCGGUAAUACGUAGGGGGCAAGCGUUAUCCGGAAUUAUUGGGCGUAAAGCGUGCGUAGGCGGAAUGUUAAGUCAUUUGUAAAAGAUCUCAGCCCAACUGAGUAAGGCGAAUGAAACUGGCAAUCUUGAAUACGGUAGAGGUAAGUGGAAUUCCAUGUGUAGCGGUGGAAUGCGUAGAUAUAUGGAGGAACACCGAUGGCGAAGGCAGCUUACUGGGCCGGAAUUGACGCUGAGGCACGAAAGCGUGGGGAGCAAACA
rnacentral:rRNA from 1 species